CUAACCRCUUCUGUUCCUGGGGACCUUUGCACGAUACAGCUGUUUUGAGAAGGUUUCUACGGAGCACAGUCAUUUAUUAGAGUCAGCACUUGCAGAGUGACCCCAUACAAAACAAUUAGCUGGAUCAGUGGAGCUUGUCCCAGGAGCUGUCCAGGGAAUCCCAGAACUGUUCGUGGCUGACUCCAGGUUUCCAGGCCUCUGAUUCACCCAAAGGGGCUUCCUUGCCUCCAUCACGGCAGGAUGCAGAGGUGCCCGUGCUGACUCUGAGCGAGGAGGUUUGCAGUCCAGAAGCAGCAGGGCUGUUUUAAAUGAGGCUCUGCCCAGGGUAAUCAGCCCAUCUUGACAAACACAAGAUGUUAUUCCUUGCUACAGGGCCUUCUACCCAAGCAGAAAGAAACCUGCAGUGCUGAGUCCUCUCCCAUGGGCUCGCUUUGGCUGUUACUGGCCCAGAUGAUGUUUGUUGGCUGGUAUCACUCCCUGUGCUGCUGCUGCCUCGUGCUCUCCAAGAGGAACAAGCUGCGCAUGAUGGCUUUGGAGAGCUGGCUGGCAGCUGGCCCACGUGUGGCACUCGCUUUCCUCUUUGCUGCGGCUGGAGCUGGAACAGAGAGGUGGGGGAUGUGUUACCCAUCUCGCUCGCCCUGAAGGGAAGCCAGCCUGGGAGAAAGCGGCAGAAACUCUGCCUCUGCAGCCCUGCGGGGAAGCCUAAGGCGCAGAGAGGGAAGCUGGCUUCCCAGCCGCACCACGCGGACGUCACAUCCCCUUUCUGAACGAGGUUCCCUUUCCCCUCUCCUCUCCCCUGCGUGUUUCGGUCCAUGGUGGCGCG
rnacentral:lncRNA from 1 species